AACGAACGCUGGCGGCAUGCCUAACACAUGCCAGUCGAACGAGACCUUCGGGUCUAGUGGCGCACGGGUGCGUAACGCGUGGGAACCUGCCCUUAGGUUCGGAAUAACUCCCCGAAAGGGGUGCUAAUACCGGAUAAUGUCUUCGGACCAAAGAUUUAUCGCCUUUGGAUGGGCCCGCGUUGGAUUAGCUAGUUGGUAGGGUAAAAGCCUACCAAGGCGACGAUCCAUAGCUGGUCUGAGAGGAUGAUCAGCCACACUGGGACUGAGACACGGCCCAGACUCCUACGGGAGGCAGCAGUGGGGAAUAUUGGACAAUGGGCGAAAGCCUGAUCCAGCAAUGCCGCGUGAGUGAUGAAGGCCUUAGGGUUGUAAAGCUCUUUUACCCGGGAUGAUAAUGGCAGUACCGGGAGAAUAAGCUCCGGCUAACUCCGU
rnacentral:rRNA from 1 species